CAGAUCUCAUUAACACCAUGAAAGCUCUCUGUUUCCAACUGUCUUUAAAAGCAGCAUGGAACAGUUACAACAGGGAGAGCAGCAGAAGGCCACUGUGGCCCACGCUUCUUGGUUCCUCCCAAAACAACUCCAAGGACAGAUGUGAUGAAAGUUAAAUAUAAAGGAUGGAUCUUUUGCCAAGCAGGUAUUCAAAAUGCAAAUCUGCAGAAGCUUGCUCCUACCACUCACCCUCAGAUGGCAUAAUCCCUGUCAUAUUGUCACAUUACUGGAGUUCAGAUGCUAAUGGCUGCACCGCUAAUCCAGCUGCCGGCAAGCCUGGACUGGUGCCCAUACCCGCUCUGCCCGGCUCUGUAACAGCUGCGCCUUUGCUCAGUCAUGCCAGUGAUUCACCGGGGAUCCCAGAUACUGAGCAGGCAUGCUGGUAGUAGGAGGACUGGAAGCUACAGUGGACAUUACAGGGAGGGCAAAAAGGCGUUGAGAUGUGGUCACACCAGCUAGUUGUUUCAUUGUAGUUUUUUAAGUUUGGUGAUUUAUAAUCUCUGCUGACAGAAUCUGCAUACAAAUGAAAAACCUGUGGGAGUGGACUUUGGUAUUGGAAUAAAUGUUCUGAUUUUGGCUUGUAGAAAGAACCACAAUCCUGUCAGCAUUGGCUCUGUGAAGGAAAACUGUCAGUGUGGGGAGCAUAAGAGGCGUAUGCAAUCC